UUGGAGGGCAAGUCUGGUGCCAGCAGCCGCGGUAAUUCCAGCUCCAAUAGCGUAUAUUAAAGUUGUUGCAGUUAAAAAGCUCGUAGUUGAAUUUCGGGAUCUGUCCGUCGGUCGGGCUUCACGGUCCGUACUGGUGUGAUGGGUUCCUACCUUCUGAAUAACCGGCAUGCCAUUCAGUUGGUGCGCCGGGGAAGCAGAGCUAUUACCUUGAAAAAAUUAGAGUGCUUAAAGCAGGCUAGUGCUUGAAUAGAUUAGCAUGGAAUAAUAAAAUAGGACGGCAUGGUUCUAUUUUGUUGGUUUCUAGGAUCACCGUAAUGAUUAAUAGGGAUAGUUGGGGGCAUUAGUAUUCAAUUGUCAGAGGUGAAAUUCUUGGAUUUAUUGAAGACUAACUUCUGCGAAAGCAUUUGCCAAGGAUGUUUUCAUUAAUCAAGAACGAAAGUUAGGGGAUCGAAGACGAUCAGAUACCGUCGUAGUCUUAACCAUAAACUAUGCCGACUAGGGAUCGGACGAUGUUAAUCUUUUAAUGACUCGUUCGGCGCCUUACGGGAAAC
rnacentral:rRNA from 1 species